rnacentral:rRNA from 1 species
AGCCAGACUCCUACGGGAGGCAGCAGUGGGGGAUAUUGCACAAUGGGGGGAACCCUGAUGCAGCGACGCCGCGUGGGUGAAGAAGCGCCUCGGCGCGUAAAGCCCUGUCAGCAGGGAAGAAAAUGACGGUACCUGAAGAAGAAGCCCCGGCUAACUACGUGCCAGCAGCCGCGGUAAUACGUAGGGGGCAAGCGUUAUCCGGAUUUACUGGGUGUAAAGGGGGCGCAGACGGCGAUGCAAGCCAGGAGUGAAAGCCCGGGGCCCAACCCCGGGACUGCUCUUGGAACUGCCGGGCUAGAGUGCAGGAGGGGCAGGCGGAAUUCCUAGUGUAGCGGUGAAAUGCGUAGAUAUUAGGAGGAACACCAGUGGCGAAGGCGGCCUGCUGGACUGCAACUGACGUUGAGGCUCGAAGGCGUGGGGAGCAAACAGGAUUAGAUACUCCAGUA